GCAGCUGCCGGACACCAGGAGACGAUGGAAGGUCUAUAGUGUUACAGCUCUGACCCAGGAAGUCCCAGGGUCUUGCCUUCCAGAAGGGUCGCGGCUCUUCCCUCCCUCAGUCCAACGAACAGGAGCACGUCACCUCCCGCAGCUCGGGGAGCUGGCCAGGAACGUGUUACAGCCCGUUUCGCUCCUGUCCGCAGCUGGGUGAGGCAGCCAGGAAAAUAUUACAGCUCUUCUCACGCCCGCCAUUCAGCAGGUCCUGACUUCUUGUGUGACAUCCAGAAGAAAGGGGUUACACAGACAGCUGGAGGGUGAGCAAAGUGGAGAAGUUCUCAGCAGAGAGGAGACUGGAGUGAGUUGCCCCUACCCGCAGGUGCCAACUGUAAUACAUCAGUAGCUGAACAGCUCAUUGCCCUCAAGUGUUCUUGCUCAUGCCUGGCUGAGUUAUUGAAGAAAUUGCUCAGAUCUCAAGCCCUUGUAGAUCACUGGUCCUGGCAGAUGUUGAAAGACAGCAUUCAAGGAACCACCUUGUACGCAGACACUGAAACCUCGCGAGACAACAAAACUGCUGACACCUUGAUCUUGGACUUCCCAGCCUCCAGAACUAUGUGAGACAUAGAACUAUAAACCAGCAAAGAGUACAUAGAACAAACAUUUUUUUUAGAAGGAUUAAAUGGGACAAUUAAACAAUUUGAUCAGCAUAAUGUCCAGCUCAAGGAUCUUGGAGGUGGUGAGGCAGCCCAAGUGGAAAGGCAGCAGAAGGGGUAUCCUUGUUUUACCAAUUACUCAUAUGUAGGAGAUGGUGCAUUAAAUGAAAUAUUCUCUGCUCUCUCCUAACAUCUACCCCCUCACACCAAGAGGAAGGCAUGUCGCCUGAACCUUUGCAGUAUUCAAUUAAAGUUCUAUUCACACGGUAUUGCAGUUGUUUGCUUAUCUUUCUUUCUUAUUAGACUUAAAACUUCUGGAAACUAGAGGCUAUAUUACUUAUUUGCCUCAGAGUCCUGUUGGCCUAUCAAAUGGCACACCUUCAAUCCAAGAAUGAAUUAAUUAAAUAAAUGUGAAGAAAAAAAAAAUCCAAGUUGCUUAUUUUUGUUAAAUUUAUUUUUCCCCAAAAUAUUUACUGAGAAAAUGACUCUGGGAAGAUAGCAGAGUGGAAAGCCCCAGAAAUGUGUUUCCCCACCUAGACAACAACUGUACUGGCAGAAUCUGUUUGAUGUGACUAUUCUGAAGUUCUGAAUUGAAUAAAUAUGAAGAAAAUACAAA
rnacentral:lncRNA from 1 species